rnacentral:rRNA from 1 species
UACGAAGGGGGCUAGCGUUACUCGGAUUCACUGGGCGUAAAGGGCGCGUAGGCGGUUCGUACAGUCAGACGUGAAAUUCCUGGGCUCAACCUGGGGGCUGCGUUUGAUACGUGCGGGCUUGAGUUCGGAAGAGGGUCGUGGAAUUCCCAGUGUAGAGGUGAAAUUCGUAGAUAUUGGGAAGAACACCGGUGGCGAAGGCGGCGACCUGGUCCGAUACUGACGCUGAGGCGCGAAAGCGUGGGGAGCAAACAGG